AUGAACGCUGGCGGCGUGCCUAAUACAUGCAAGUCGAGCGAACAGACGAGGAGCUUGCUCCUCUGACGUUAGCGGCGGACGGGUGAGUAACACGUGGAUAACCUACCUAUAAGACUGGGAUAACUUCGGGAAACCGGAGCUAAUACCGGAUAAUAUAUUGAACCGCAUGGUUCAAUAGUGAAAGACGGUUUUGCUGUCACUUAUAGAUGGAUCCGCGCCGCAUUAGCUAGUUGGUAAGUUAACGGCUUACCAAGGCAACGAUGCGUAGCCGACCUGAGAGGGUGAUCGGCCACACUGGAACUGAGACACGGUCCAGACUCCUACGGGAGGCAGCAGUAGGGAAUCUUCCGCAAUGGGCGAAAGCCUGACGGAGCAACGCCGCGUGAGUGAUGAAGGUCUUCGGAUCGUAAAACUCUGUUAUUAGGGAAGAACAAAUGUGUAAGUAACUAUGCACGUCUUGACGGUACCUAAUCAGAAAGCCACGGCUAACUACGUG
rnacentral:rRNA from 1 species